rnacentral:rRNA from 1 species
CCUACAGGAGGCUGCAGUGGGGAAUAUUGGACAAUGGGGGGAACCCUGAUCCAGCCAUGCCGCGUGUGUGAAGAAGGCCCUCGGGUUGUAAAGCACUUUCAGUGAGGAAGAACGCCUGGUGGUUAAUACCCAUCAGGAAAGACAUCACUCACAGAAGAAGCACCGGCUAACUCCGUGCCAGCAGCCGCGGUAAUACGGAGGGGGCGAGCGUUAAUCGGAAUUACUGGGCGUAAAGGGCGCGUAGGUGGCUUGAUAAGCCGGUUGUGAAAGCCCCGGGCUCAACCUGGGAACGGCAUCCGGAACUGUCAAGCUAGAGUGCAGGAGAGGAAGGUAGAAUUGCCGGUGUAGAGGUGAAAUGCGUAGAGAUCGGGAGGAAUACCAGUGGCGAAGGCGGCCUUCUGGACUGACACUGACACUGAGGUGCGAAAGCGUGGGUAGCAAACAGGAUUAGAUACCCCUGUAGUC